rnacentral:misc_RNA from 1 species
UUUCCGUAGGUGAACCUGCGGAAGGAUCAUUAUUGUAUUAAUAGAGGUACAAGGGCUGUAGCUAACUUUUCAAGUUGUGCACGCCUGAAUGCCUCUUAUACACCCAAUCUUACCCCUUUGUGCAUCACCACGUGGGUCCCUUUCUUUUGGUUUAUUCUGAAAGGGGGGGCUUGCGUUUUUAACAUAGACACCCCUUUGAAUUCAGUAUAGAAUGUCUUUAAUAUGUGAUUAAUACAACUUUCAACAACGGAUCUCUUGGCUCUC